AUUGCUUCUUAGCCUUUUGGCAAAGAUCAAGUGUAGUUACCUGCUCUUAUCAGUUUAUUAUCAUACGUCUGUAGAUCGAGGACCACGCCUUACGGUAAACGGAUUUUUGGAGCAGGGAGAUGAAACAGGAGAUUGCUCCCUCCAAGCUGUGCAUCCACCUGGAAGAGUGUACCUUCAGGAACAGUGCACACCCU